GACGGGGGCCCGCACAAGCGGUGGAGCACGUGGUUUAAUUCGAUGCAAACCGAAGAACCUUACCUGGGUUUGACAUGUACGUGGUACUGAGCUGAAAGGUGAGGGACUGUGCCUUCGGGUACAGAGCGUACACAGGUGCUGCAUGGCUGUCGUCAGCUCGUGUCGUGAGAUGUUGGGUUAAGUCCCGCAACGAGCGCAACCCUUGCCUUUAGUUGCCAGCAGUUCGGCUGGGCACUCUAAAGGGACUGCCGGUGUUAAACCGGAGGAAGGUGGGGAUGACGUCAAGUCCUCAUGGCCUUUAUGACCAGGGCUACACACGUACUACAAUGGACGAUACAAAGGGCAGCGACACUGCGAGGUGAAGCCAAUCCCGUAAAAUCGGUCUCAGUCCGGAUUGGAGUCUGCAACUCGACUCCAUGAAGUUGGAAUCGCUAGUAAUCGUGGAUCAGCAUGCCACGGUGAAUACGUUCCCGGGCCUU
rnacentral:rRNA from 1 species